GAGUCCAGCAGCGACAACAAAGCCCAAGAGGAAAGGGAGGAGGUUGAGGGUCCAGCAGAGCCUCCAGCUCCACAGGAGUGUUCCAGGCCCCAGACGCCCGAAUGGCUGGUGGCCCUGGAGAGCGGCUCCAGGUGCGUGGGCUGCUGCCAGGUCUUCCCCACCUUAGAGGUCCUCAAGCAGCACGUGCAGAACGGGGUCAGUGAGGGCUUUAGCUGCCGUGCUGUUCACCUUGCCUUCCGUCGGCUGAAGUGGAAGGAGAACUUGGAGAAGGUGAGGAGAAAGGAGAAAGGAGGAGGCAGAUAGCAUAUAGAUGCCAGAAAGUAAAGCCUUUGGCAUCAAAGUCUCCAUGCAAAUAAAGAGGUGAUUUUUCAGCCCCUAAAAGAGAGGAAGUAGAGGAGACCAUACUCUACUCAGGGGGCUCUGUCUUCCCUCAACACCCCUAGUGCCCACUGUUAGGCUUAUUUACACCCACCCCGUCCCCACCACUCUCACCGCACCACCAGUAGGAGCAGAGAACCGUUUUCCGUUACAGCCACUGUUCUCCCAAGAUGGAGGAAGAAGAAGGCAGGUCACACUGUGUGGAACAGCAAGACGCUCUUGACCAACUAAAGAGCAGUGAACACCGAUAACCAUCUCCACCAUGACAGUUGAUAUAAAAGGCUCAUUGGAAGGUGGAAACUGCUAGGAGUCAAGUCGCACAAGAGCAGCAUACACCCAUCGGCCUAAAGAUUUCAAGCAGCGGUUUCCAGCACCUUCCUAGAGUCCCACUGGAGCCCAGAAGUUCUCCACGAGCCCCACAGCCACAAGCGAGGGCCGGUAAAGAUGGCUGUUCCCGAUCCUUUGUAGCUGCUCCCGAGUUAGCCUGGUGAACCGUGGCGCCCUUGUCUGGAGAAAACACCCACGUUGCCCUGUGAGGAGCUGGAGGAACGGCAGAAACAGUGUGCAUCAGGAGAUCUCUGGGAAGGCCUUCCUGCCGGCCCCCAGCCCUCCAGGAGUCAGGUGCCGGGGCAAACGUGUGGAGAAGAGGGCGGCGUCCCUAGGGAGGCGGCAGGACUGUGGAAGCUCACUUCUCCUCCCUAGAGCUGUCACCAGUGCAGCGGAAGAUCGAUGACCACUUGGCAGGGCUCGGGAGGAGACUGCUCACGCGGCCGAGGCUUCACCAGGAUACUCCAAUCUCUUUCCCUUCGGAGUUCUACUUGCAGCUCCUCAGGUCCCUUUCAUUUAGCGGAGGCGUGAACACCUGGCUCCUGGUCUUACUCUGCAGCCGGGCUACUGCCCUGAGCCCGCCUAAUGCAGCCCUCCUCCACGCCUUCUAUCCGCAAUACGUGCAGCGGGGCGGGGCGGAGCGUGAACACACAGUCCGGACUGUCAUCCACACCCUUCCGCCCAGACCUUUCCACCAGCGUAGUCUUCGUUCACAGUUUUACUCAUUUCUCGAUACCCUUUAAACGCACAUACGCCUUUCCCCUACUUUUCCGUAACAUAUUCUCUGUUAGUACAUCAGUGUCUCUGUUUCUGAAGGGAUGCACAGAACACAGAAGAGGCGGAAGAAUCUCCGCUUGCUGUUGGAUCGUGAGCUGGGGCAUUCCCUCGCGUCCACGCUGCAGGACUUGUAAAUUCAGAUUUGCUGAGAAAUUAGAAAAACAAAAAAAAAAAAUAGAGGUGUAGUCCAUGCUUGGUGUUUGUACGUUUAUCCAUCCAUUAAACAAACAAGAAGCGUC